UGGCAAUACCGUAAUGUCAAAUCGCUCUUAGUGAACUCCAAAGCUACUUGAUGUAGGUUCCAACAACUCAACGAACUAUAUAGUGCUAACCGAUAUGGUUCCUUUGACUAGACGAUGUUCUGUAUUUCCGCUCUAUGGUGUAUGCACUAUCUCAGUUCAAUGGGUCCUUAAAAAUGCUCAAAAGCGUCUGCAUACUCGGCUACUGCAGCAAUGGUAUCCAAUACUUAAAGCUUUCACUUCCAAAUACAAAUCAUUCUCCUUUCCCUUUAACUCUUCAGCUUUCAACAUCAAGAUAGCUUAUAUCCAUAUCCUAAUCCUUAUUCCAUUAAGGACUACUCUCCUCUCCUAUUGAGGAUUAUGAGUACAUGCUGCUUUCCUAGAUCUCUUCCUAUUCAUUAAUCUCUAACCUCCGUAUAGAUUUUCGCUAAGCCCCGAUGCUAUUCCUAACACACUGCAACAUCCCCGAACACUGGUACACCUCUAAAUACGCAUCCCAAAAUUCUGUCACUUUAUUUCAUUCCAAACUCCAACCCCAGCAGGUCUCCAUCUAGGUUCACACCGUCGAGAGAUAUUAACACUACCACAUACACUAC
rnacentral:lncRNA from 1 species